rnacentral:rRNA from 1 species
GACGAACGCUGGCGGCGUGCCUAAUACAUGCAAGUCGAGCGCAGGAAACUGACGGAACUCUUCGGAGGGAAGGCAGCGGAAUGAGCGGCGGACGGGUGAGUAACACGUAAGGAACCUGCCUCAAGGAUUGGGAUAACUCCGAGAAAUCGGAGCUAAUACCGGAUAGUUCAUCGGACCGCAUGGUCCGUUGAUGAAAGGCGCUCCGGCGUCACCUUGAGAUGGCCUUGCGGUGCAUUAGCUAGUUGGUGGGGUAACGGCCCACCAAGGCGACGAGGCAUAGGCGACCUGAGAGGGUGAUCGGCCACACUGGGACGGAGACACGGCCCAGACUCCUGCGGGAGGCAGCAGUAGGGAAUCUUCCACAAUGGACGAAAGUCUGAUGGAGCAACGCCGCGUGAGUGAUGAAGGUUUUCGGAUCGUAAAACUCUGUUGUAAGGGAAGAACACGUACGAGAGGGAAUGCUCGUACCUUGACGGUACCUUACGAGAAAGCCACGGCUAACUACGUGCCAGCCGCCGCAGUAA